rnacentral:rRNA from 1 species
UACGUAGGGGGCAAGCGUUGUCCGGAAUCAUUGGGCGUAAAGAGCGUGUAGGCGGCCCGGUAAGUCCGCUGUGAAAGUCGAGGGCUCAACCCUCGAAUGCCGGCGGAUACUGUCGGGCUAGAGUCCGGAAGAGGCGAGUGGAAUUCCUGGUGUAGCGGUGAAAUGCGCAGAUAUCAGGAGGAACACCCGUGGCGAAAGCGGCUCUCUGGGACGGUACUGACGCUGAGACGCGAAAGCGUGGGGAGCGAACAGG